UACGAAGGGGGCUAGCGUUGCUCGGAAUUACUGGGCGUAAAGGGCGCGUAGGCGGCACUGUUAGUCAGGCGUGAAAGUCCUGGGCUCAACCUGGGAACUGCGCUUGAUACGGCAGAGCUAGAGGAUGGAAGAGGCUCGCGGAAUUCCCAGUGUAGAGGUGAAAUUCGUAGAUAUUCGGAAGAACACCAGUGGCGAAGGCGGCUCACUGGACCGGUAUUGACGCUGAGGUGCGAAAGCGUGGGGAGCAAACAGG
rnacentral:rRNA from 1 species